GAGAUGUCUCUGAGCAAUAGAAAAUAAAUGUGGACCAGUUGGCAGAUAGCCUGGGGAAUGCUCUUAUCAGGAAAUUGUUUUCUUCUGGACUUUCCUCACCUAUCUGAGACCUGCUGUGAUCCCAUUUAAUCUGAUGAAUUUCACAACACUGAACUAAACGAGUAGUGUGGAGCAUUUUAGAAACAGAGGCUGAGGAGUUAAAUGUGUCUUCAGAUGAAUGAACUCACGUUACCUGGGGAGUUCAGCUGCAGAGCAGGGCUCAUCAAUACCCUAAGAAGGUAAGAAACAACGUUAAUCCUUCACCACAGUUACCAACAUCAU